CCGGCGCACGGGUGAGCAAUACGUAUGCAACCUGGCCGCCACAGGGGGAUAACCCGCGGAAACGCGGCCUAAUACCCCGUGACGCCACCGGAGGGCAUCCUCCGGUGGCCAAAGGAGCGAUCCGGUGGCGGAUGGGCAUGCGGCGCAUUAGCUAGACGGCGGGGUGACGGCCCACCGUGGCGACGAUGCGUAGGGGUUCUGAGAGGAAGGCCCCCCACACUGGGACUGAGACACGGCCCAGACUCCUACGGGAGGCAGCAG
rnacentral:rRNA from 1 species